GUUUGAAAUGUAAAUAGUCUUUUUGAAAACACUGUCCAUUGUUUUAACACCUGCUUAAAACUGUGAAUGAUUUGAGUUCACAAAAUAGUGUUUGAAAUGUAAAUAGUCGUUUUUGAAACCAGUGCCCAUUGUUUAACUGUUGCUUGAAAAUGUGAAUCAAUAUAUUUCACUUCAUCGUAUUUGAAAUGUAAAUAGUUUUGUUUAAUCAUUGCCUAUUUUUUACUGCUGCUUCAAUAUAUGAAAGUUUCCAGUGCCAUUAUCGUCUUUCAAAUGUACAAAGUCGUUGUGUAACCAUUGCCCUUUGUUUUAACUGC
rnacentral:lncRNA from 1 species